rnacentral:lncRNA from 1 species
CGUUAAUUCAAGAAAUACCGUUUUAUCAUUUUGAACUUUAAUACCGUGAUAGGAAAUAGGGUGAAGGGUCCUUACUUGUUUUUGGGAUCCAAAUACGAUUCACAGUGCGCCUACAGGCCGUCCCUAAUUUUCUCUGAAUUUUUCCGGGGGAACUGAAACACACUAACGGUACCUGCACGUGUUCCAAAAAAAAAAACCCAAAUUAGGCCCAGGGCCUCUUUCGGCCCAAAUCGCAACUCCG